rnacentral:rRNA from 1 species
UAACCGUAUAGGGGAGCCGCAGGGAAACCGAGUCUUAACCGGGCGUUAAGUUGCAGGGUAUAGACCCGAAACCCGGUGAUCUAGCCAUGGGCAGGUUGAAGGUUGGGUAACACUAACUGGAGGACCGAACCGACUAAUGUUGAAAAAUUAGCGGAUGACCUGUGGCUGGGGGUGAAAGGCCAAUCAAACCGGGAGAUAGCUGGUUCUCCCCGAAAGCUAUUUAGGUAGCGCCUCGUGAAUUCAUCUCCGGGGGUAGAGC